AGCGAACGCUGGCGGCAGGCUUAACACAUGCAAGUCGAGCGGGCGUAGCAAUACGUCAGCGGCAGACGGGUGAGUAACGCGUGGGAACAUACCUUUUGGUUCGGAACAACACAGGGAAACUUGUGCUAAUACCGGAUAAGCCCUUACGGGGAAAGAUUUAUCGCCGAAAGAUUGGCCCGCGUCUGAUUAGCUAGUUGGUGAGGUAACGGCUCACCAAGGCGACGAUCAGUAGCUGGCUGAGAGGAUGAUCAGCCACAUUGGGACUGAGACACGGCCCAAACUCCUACGGGAGGCAGCAGUGGGGAAUAUUGGACAAUGGGCGCAAGCCUGAUCCAGCCAUGCCGCGUGAGUGAUGAAGGCCCUAGGGUUGUAAAGCUCUUUUGUGCGGGAAGAUAAUGACGGUACCGCAAGAAUAAGCCCCGGCUAACUUCGUGCCAGCAGCCGCCGCUGUAA
rnacentral:rRNA from 1 species